AUAGCUUGAUGACUCUCGACAACGGAUAUCUUGGCUCUCGCAUCGAUGAAGAACGUAGCGAAAUGCGAUACUUGGUGUGAAUUGCAGAAUCCCGUGAACCAUCGAGUCUUUGAACGCAAGUUGCGCCUGAAGCCUUUAGGUGGAAGGCAUGUCUGCUUGGGC
rnacentral:rRNA from 3 species